rnacentral:rRNA from 1 species
CCUACGGGGGGCUGCAGUGGGGAAUAUUGCACAAUGGGCGCAAGCCUGAUGCAGCCAUGCCGCGUGUGUGAAGAAGGCCUCCGGGUUGUAAAGCACUUUCAGCGGGGAGGAAGGCGGUGAGGUUAAUAACCUCAUCGAUUGACGUUACCCGCAGAAGAAGCACCGGCUAACUCCGUGCCAGCAGCCGCGGUAAUACGGAGGGUGCAAGCGUUAAUCGGAAUUACUGGGCGUAAAGCGCACGCAGGCGGUCUGUCAAGUCGGAUGUGAAAUCCCCGGGCUCAACCUGGGAACUGCAUUCGAAACUGGCAGGCUAGAGUCUUGUAGAGGGGGGUAGAAUUCCAGGUGUAGCGGUGAAAUGCGUAGAGAUCUGGAGGAAUACCGGUGGUGAAGGCGGCCCCCUGGACAAAGACUGACGCUCAGGUGCGAAAGCGUGGGGAGCAAACAGGAUUAGAUACCCUAGUAGUC